UGGCUGUGAUAGUGACAUUUCUUGGGAUACCUUUGGAUUAAAAAUGAAAACAACUACUCAGAGCAUU
rnacentral:snoRNA from 1 species